GGGGGCGACUGGUUUCGACAUGGUAGGUCAGAAGUGAGGAGCAGGUCGUGGUCUCCUCGCCACGUUAAACAGGGGUACCGUCAAUUUAAUUGGCAAGAACAACACUCAGAGCGCUCCGGCGCUCGCCAUGGCUGCUUAAUUUACGCCAGGCUGUCGGCUCUUAACUUUCCCCGGUUUUGAGUUCGGCAUUAUCUAAGGGGAAUGCUCCGCGGCACGUAGUCGGUAUGGCCAAGGAAAAGAUUGAACCGGCUGGGGAAUGCUUCGUUCGUCAACGGGCAGGGCUUUCCUGAAUCUUAUUCGUUGACUAAGCUUGUAGAGCCUGAUGGACGAUCUAGUAUGGACCGGAGUUCGAUUCUCCGCGCCUCCACCA
rnacentral:tmRNA from 2 species